UCUCCGUGGGUGAACCUGCGGAGGGAUCAUUACAGAGUUCUCGCCCUCUCGGGUAGAUCUCCCACCCACUGUUAUCGUUACUGUGUUGCUUUGACGGGCCGCCGGGCCCCGCUCGGCCUCCGGCUCCGGCUCGCGCGCGCCCGCCAGAGGCCCAGCAAACUCUGAAUGUUAAUGUCGUCUGAGUAAUAUAUAAUAGUUAAAACUUUCAACAACGGAUCUCUUGGUUCUG
rnacentral:misc_RNA from 1 species